GACUUGCCAAGGAACAGAUCGACCAGCUGGAGCAGGAGCUGGUGAAGGCAACACAAGCUUCGCGCGAACAGAGCAAACUGAACGAACGGAUUGCAUACCUCGUUAAGCGCGAGGAGACCUGCUAAAGGAAAGUCACGAGCUGCGCGAGCAGAACGAACUGCUCGAGUUUCGAAUCAUCGAGCUCGAGGAAAGCCACGACAAGGUAAGC